rnacentral:lncRNA from 1 species
CACAACACAAGGUAAGAAGGAGAAUGCUAAUUUAAAAAUCUGUCAGGGUGCGUUUAUUGUUAAUAUUUUUCAUGGAAAAUUUGUUUUUUAUCACUCAAAUUCCUACUUUUGUAUUGUUUAAUUGACAUUUUUUUCAUAAAAAAUAUUUUCCUACUUUUGAUCACAUAACCAUAUUUUCGUCAAAAUCAAGAAAAUAUUUUCUUUUGGACGAGUAGGUUUUUUAUUUUCCAGAGAAUUCACUCUCUUUUCUCUCUCCCAUCUAUCUAUUUUCUCUCAUUUGCCCACUAACAGAAAUCGGAUAAGUAUAAUACUUUCUAAAUUGAAAAUUAAAUCAAUCAAAUAUAUUUAAUCAAUAAUUUACAUUCAAAUAAGUUCUAGACAAUUGAAUUUUCUAGAAUUUAUUUUUUUCCAUGCAAAUUUUAUGCUUACAAUCAAACGCUCCCUUAGUGUUUAUAAAUGGACAUAUGUUCAACCAGAAAUCGAUAGGGGAAAAGAGAUGGUAAACGGACUAAAAGAAAAAGGGGCUAGUAGAAUCUGUACAUGUAUUUUUAGUUACAAUUGGAAUUCGAUGCAUAAUUAAAAAUGAAAAAUUCUUCUUGUGUAUCACUAUAAAUAGUGGAUAAAUAUAAUUAAAAAUGUCAAAAUUUCUUCACCACUUAAAUAGUUGUGAUUAUGUAACAUGGUAAUCACAAAAAUAAAGUAGGGGGAUUUUUUUUAUUUGUUUGGUGAGAUUAAUUUUGACACACCACUUUGUCUAUUGUUAAAUAAAUCUAUAAUUGUAAUGUAUCUGUAG